rnacentral:lncRNA from 1 species
AAUUGCCUGCCCACUCAGGUUUCUAAAUUAUUCUCCAUUCAUAUCUGAAAUCUCCUUUAGAGCCUGUGGGUUUCAUUCCUACAUCUGUGCCAGUUUUGAUCUCUCAGGAAUGAUUCAGCAAGUUCAGUGGUGCACUGAGUUACAGGCAGGAAACUGGGAGGCUCUCUAAAGGCAUACUUGCCUACACAUAACAGGCCAUCCUUUCUUCUCAUACGUCUCCCUAGCUUCCUGGGCACAAGGAACAUCAUUCCUUCUCAUGCAUGGUCUGCAGUGAUGAGGAAGAAACUGAGAGCCAGAGAGGGGAGGCAACUUGUCCCAAAUCUUACAGCUUGAGCCACUGCUGGACCUAAGUCUUCAGAGUCCCAUGUUUAGAGUUGUCUUUGCUACAUGGUCCUGCCUAACUACAUAUGUAGUGAGAGGAAGAAAAAGUUAUUUCCAGCUAAUUUCAAAGAUAGACUCUAAAUGCUGUUUAUGUUCUUAAAUUCUCAUGACAUCCAUGCAAAGAGAUCCACAUACCAAGACCCAUAAAAUGCCAGAAGCAAUUACUGGAAACAAAGCAGUGAAUUGUCAUAAUUGAGUGUAUAUUGUCUUUCACAGGAUCUGUGCAUUUAUAGAUGUGCCAUUUCCACAGCAGAUCAGUUGUUCUCAUCUUGGCUGCUCACUGGAUCAUCUGGGAAGUUUUAAGAAAACACUGAGGUGUGAGCCAGGCACUAGGAGUUGAAAAACCUCCCUAGAGAGAAUCUAGUGAGCAACUGGUGUUGAGAACCCCUCCUCUGGAUUGUGAGUUCUUGGAAGGCAGAAUUUUCAUCCUUGAACCCCCUGGAACACCAUGCCAUAGAGUAAUUGUUAAUUGAAACUGAGGACACAAUGCUGAAAGUUCUUACAGAGAGCAGCUAUGUCAGAGUGGAAAAGACAUGGCCUUUGACAUCAAAAAUACCUAUUUGCAUCUCAAUCUUGCCAUUUAGUAGCUGUGACUUCACACACGACAGUUGCUCUGAGCCAUCUAUAAAACGAAUAUAAAGAUGAUACCAACUUCCCAGGGACAUUAUGAGCUCAGCUAAGAUUAUUUAGCUUUUAUAAAGGUCCUUGGUAACAGCAAAGACUUUGUCAAGUAUUGUUAUUUC